GAUGAACGCUGGCGGCGUGCCUAACACAUGCAAGUCGAGCGAAGCACUUUGCUUGGAUUCUUCGGAUGAAGAGGAUUGUGACUGAGCGGGCGACGGGUGAAGGUACGCGUAGGGUAACCUGCCUCAUACAGGGGGAUAACAGCCGGAAACGGCUGCUAAUACCGCAUAAUGCAUCGGAUUCGCAUGUUUCUGAUGCCAAAGAUUUUAUCACUGAAAGAUGAGCUCGCGUCUGAUUAGCUAGUUGGCGGGGUAACGGCCCACCAAGGCGACGAUCAGUAGCCGGACUGAGAGGUUGAACGGCCACAUUGGGACUGAGACACGGCCCAG
rnacentral:rRNA from 1 species